CAACUAUGCUGAUAUAACAAAUUAGCUUUGGCGUCAUUGGCUCCAUCUGACGAAUCAAUACCUAGCAGCUCUAGAAAGAAGAAGUCCAAGUGAUCACUGCCAUGUUCAUGCAAUACAAAAUACACCAUUGUUUCUGCCAGAAAGGUGCUUUUGGAAGGAGAGAAAUGCUAAGAAACAAAGUCUGCAACAACAUUGAAACAGAUGAAAAAUUUUCCUAUUCUCAGGCAAAUCAUGGUCCUCACGGAAGCUUCAAAGUCUAAGAAAGGCAAAUGGAUUGGUGUUUCAUUUUAGUGUAAGAAUUUGAAAAAGUUCCAAUAUGUUCAUGGGCUGUCAAAGUUGAAAAGUGCAUAGGAAGACUACUGCUAUAUUGUUAUCUUUGAGGGUUCUCCCUAUCAAAGUCAUGAGAGAAUUUGUAGAACAAGCUUCUUUAUUUUUUAUUCUAUAUAUAUAUAUAUAUAUAUAUAUA